rnacentral:misc_RNA from 1 species
UCAACAAAGUGCAGGUAUGCUAAUACAUUCUCUAUACCAAUAAACUUUGUGAUUUCAUUUGAUUUGCUUUUCGUGAUACUUAUGUGGGUUUUGUUGUACUCUACUUUGUGUAAUACCACUGUGUGUAAGAUCUAAAUUCCACCACUCCAGAAAGAAGGUUAUGGUUUAAUUUAUAGUAUGAGCAGCACUUGCUUAAUUUUGAUAACAUCAACAUGACACCGCAUAAUAAGAUUGUGAUAUUGUAAUUCUGCAGUUGUUGCUUAUUAGUCAAAUUUUAUGAUUCUACCAUGAUUGAAUAUUUGGUGGUUCCAUUAUGUCAAUGCUAUUUUAGAUUAUUCUUUUCACAUGAAUGUGAUUGGCUCAGGCAACGUCUUCCUUAAACAUGGCUCCGAUCUGCGCUUGAUCCCACGGGAUAGGGUUGGAGCUACUGAGUAAAGAAAGCAACAGUCUGGAUGACUUUUUUAUCAUUCUGGUUAAUCUAGUUUUGUUUUCUGCGUACAAACUGGAAUAAUGGUGAAAGCGUCCUUUUGGGCAUUAUACUGUUUAACUGAUACCAUAAAGUUUGUGAAAUACUGAGAUUGAUACGAAAGUUGGCUACAUGUCGUAGCUGUUUAGUUAAUAAUUGAGGCUCUAGUUGUUUACCUGCUCUCUUUGGACUUAAUAAGAUACUAAUAGCAUUGUUCUAUCGUGGCCAACUUAUUGAAGUCAGGGCGCUACGGUAUUUAAAGCGGAUCAUCCAGACCCAGAAGCGGCCAUGUCUUACUGCAGAUCAAUAACUAAAAUGAAGGCCCCAUUUAGAAAUCUCACAUGAUCGUAUUUAUGGCUUUACCAACAAUGUGGACUUAGCAUCCAGGCAUUCAAUGAAUGCUCCUGUUUAUAAACUGUAAAAUCAUUUCUAGUCUUUAUCUUGUCAUUUUGCAUUUAAUUCUAAACCUGAUCUGUUCUUUGAGAGGUGUUUAAUUGUGCAUAAGGAGUUGGAUUUUAAUACGUGCACCAGUAGACGGCUGGGAGAUGACGAGCUGUGAAAACGAUAGAUAUCCUAGAGAAUUCAAAAAGGUAAAGAUUGCGUUCCAGUCUCUUUCUUGCUCUUUAGGUUCAAAAAUGCCAAACCCACGAUGUAAGGUCGGCAUAACCCAACAAAUGUAACUGGCAAAAGAGAAGCAUUUCUUUCAGAAAUGUGGUUCAGCGUUUCCUCAGCAAGCAGCCAGCGAAGCCAUAAUCUAACAAGUCGGUAAUAGAGUGGCCUAAUGAAGAGGAGGUCCACAAUGAAGACCAUCGUCAUUGCAAUUGUUAUUGUGGGAUCGUAUAAAGUGGGUGGAGGGUGAAUGAGGACGAAUGCACUUGAAUCUGUAAGCAGUGGCAUCAUCACUUUCAGUGACCUGUUAACGUCCUAAUUAGACAACAGUAUGGAUGGAGGGCCCCAUGGUAUUUCAAUUGUAGUGCCCAAAAGAUCAAGCGAUGUUGUGUUCUUGAGGAGGAAUCAGCUGAUAAGAAUUUUGUUUGGAGGAUCUAAUGGCUAAGUAAAGGUGAUCUAAUUAGAGCUUUGAUCAAGUUUUGGUGGCAUUUACGGAGGGUAAUGUGACUGCUAUUUAAUGCUUAAGUAUGUAAAUGAAUUGAGCGGUUUAAAAUUUGGUUCGAUAAAAUUUUUGAUUUAAUUUAAUUUAUUUAAAAAAUAGGUGAGUUUGAGCCUUAUUUUUAGAAUUAUAUAAUAAAUGUGUAAAGUGUGAGCUUAUUGAUAUUUGGCUUAAUAAAAAUUGCGAGUUGG